GUGCUUGCUUCGGCAGCACAGAUACUAAAAUUGGAAAGAUACAGAGAAGAUUAGCAUGGCCCCUUCGCAAGGAUGACACAUAAACUCAUGAAGCGUUGCAUAUUUUA
ensembl:snRNA U6 U6 spliceosomal RNA